rnacentral:rRNA from 1 species
AACGAACGUUGGCGGCGUGGAUUAGGCAUGCAAGUCGAACGGGGUUGGAGCAAUCCAACCUAGUGGCGAACGGGUGAGUAGCGCGUGGGAAACCUGCCCUCGAGAUGGGGAUAACACUUCCAACGAGGUGCUAAUACCGGAUAAGACCACAGGGUCGCAUGGCCUGGUGGUUAAAGAUGGCCUCUGCUUGCAAGCUAUCACUCGAGGAUGGUCCCGCGUCCCAUUAGCUUGUUGGUAGGGUAACGGCCUACCAAGGCUACGAUGGGUAGCUGGUCUGAGAGGAUGGUCAGCCACACUGGGACUGAGAUACGGCCCAGACACCUACGGGUGGCAG